rnacentral:rRNA from 1 species
AUUGAACGCUGGCGGCAUGCUUCACACAUGCAAGUCGAACGGUAACAGGCCGCAAGGUGCUGACGAGUGGCGAACGGGUGAGUAAUGCAUCGGAACGUGCCCGGUCGUGGGGGAUAACGCAGCGAAAGCUGCGCUAAUACCGCAUACGAUCUCUGGAUGAAAGCGGGGGACCGAAAGGCCUCGAGCGAUUGGAGCGGCCGAUGUGAGAUUAGGUAGUUGGUGGGGUAAAGGCUCACCAAGCCAACGAUCUGUAGCUGGUCUGAGAGGACGACCAGCCACACUGGGACUGAGACACGGCCCAGACUCCUACGGGAGGCAGCAGUGGGGAAUUUUGGACAAUGGGCGCAAGCCUGAUCCAGCAAUGCCGCGUGCAGGAAGAAGGCCUUCGGGUUGUAAACUGCUUUUGUACGGAACGAAACGGUCCUGGUUAAUACCUGGGGCUAAUGACGGUACCGUAAGAAUAAGCACCGGCUAACUACGUGCCAGCCGCCGCCGUAACAC